rnacentral:rRNA from 1 species
UACGUAGGUGGCAAGCGUUGUCCGGAAUCACUGGGCGUAAAGGGCGCGUAGGUGGCCCGACAAGUCCGUGGUGAAAGCUCGACGCUCAACGUCGAGUCGGCCAUGGAUACUGUUGGGCUGGAGCACUGUAGAGGCUCAUGGAAUUCCGGGGUGUAGCGGUGGAAUGCGUAGAGAUUGGAAAGAACACCGAUGGCGAAGGCACUUUACUGGGCUAUUACUAACACUCAGAGACGAAAGCUAAGGGUAGCAAAUGGG